GAUGGAAUCAUCCUCAGUAUAUCUAUGCAUGUAACCAUUGGAAAGCAGUUUAUCUCACAUAGAAAGACCAUUAUAAAUUUCAUGUGUGAGAUACGUAUGUAACUUACCUUUAUUUUCUCUUUCACUACUACGCUUCUGCAUUCACCAGAAGCUCCAAAGACAAAAAAACCAUCAGUCAUUUAACUGGUGAUGUACACAUUUGCCAUCCUGGCGUGGCUUUGCUUUUAAGCUUAAGGUAAAGCAAUUUGUUUGUGCCGUAAGUGACAAAAGCCCACAACCCCACUGCAGCAGAUCUCUGAUUGAGCUCAACGCAGAGCAAGGUCAGACCUGGUGAAGGGAAAAUGAGCACAGCAUGGAAUCACUGCUAAGGCUUUUCCCUAUAAGCAAAGCCCGUGUAUUACUCUCCCAAUGCUUCCUUGGAAGUGCCCUCAACGUUUUAGUGAAGACUUCUCCUGUUGUCUCCCUUCCGUUCCCCGCAACAAACAGCCGUUCAUUUAGUACCGAAAACUUCAGAACAAUGUAUUCACAUUUUAAAAAGUAAGGAGCAAUUGGUAACGGUAUCAUUGCAUGGAAAUGGUCUGGCAGCCUUCUGCUCGGUGCCAACACCUGCGCUCUGCGGAGCGGAAAGAGCUGCCACUUCUUCAUCAGUGCUUCAGUGAGACGGUUACUCCGCCACGCUGCAAGAAGGUCACUGCUGACUGUUAAUAUAUAACCCACAGAUGUGUUGGAUCUUUCCCUGCAGCACUGUUUCAGGCACCGCAGGGGAAUCCCCUCUGCUACCCAUGCCAGCAGCAGACAGGGGAGCUGCAGCCUGGGGAUGCCUGCCUCCCACCCUGCCGCCCCCCAUGCAGCUCUGCAGCGGCUGCUGGGGCUGGGCUGCACAGCGGCUCCCUGGGCUGAUCCAAGUGACGAAGAGGAUGCUCUGAAUCCAGAUUGCUUUUGUUAUCAGAAUGGCAUCAGGAACUGCAGUGCUGGUGCAGUCAGGAGAGCAGGUGCUGGGGAGGAAGCGUGCCGUGGUUCAGACUGUGUCUCUUCCCUUAAUAAAGGUAGAAUGCAAUUGAAAGAGUGUUAUGGUUACACAAUUAUCAAACAGAUAGCUCACAAACAAAAAGGAUGAUGCAUUGGUUCAGAAAAAAUCCAUACAGUCUGUAUUAAAAAUUGCUUCAUCUAUGUGCCUUCUGCAGAGAAAGUAGCUACGUGGAUAGCCAUUAGACAACAUGAACAGUACACAAACAUGAAUCCACAUGCAUAUACACAUUUACACAUGUAAACAUGCAAAAAAAAAAUCUCUAAAUGUAAAAGAAAUGCAAAUUACACCUCACGUAAGAGUUUAUGUCAGCUUUCAAAACCCGCAUGCAGCUCUGAUCCCCUGGGCAGCCGGUUCAUGGCAGCAACAACCAGAAAAGCCUAUAGAGGGAGCAGGCCGCCUGCUUUUCCUGAGUGACGGGUUUUCAGCCUUAAGCAACAGCCCUGCGGGAAGGGCAGCCAAAGGUGGAGGACAAUCAUGUCUUAGGGAGCAGUCCCAGGGCCUGAUCGGGUUACCCUUCAAAGAAGUGGAACAGCAGCAGCAGCCACCUGCCCAGGCCAUGGGCAAGAGGGCUGCAGCUCCAUGUCUCCCCUCCUUUCCUCCUUGCCCUGUCUUCAAGUUCACACCUGAGCCCUGCAAGAAGAAUCACUUGUUGUUUUCCCUCUUCUGUAGUUGCUGGCAUGUCAUGACACUUCAGCCUCCUCUCUUCAAAGUUUAGCAGAAUUUCAUCUUCUGACACCUACAGCCAAAGUAACAUAGCACUGGCUAGAAGUAAGGGAAGAAUGCAGUAAGGAAAGCUCAGGGCUGCCUGCUGAACAAACAGAAUAACUAGGAAAUGCACAACUGCAUGCUACAGAUAACACUAGAGAAGCAGCAUUAAGCAGAAUCAAUAUUAAAAUUGCAUUCAGAAGACAGAAAACACAGAAAUAUCAGGGUUAUUGGGAUACUGUGAUUAGGGUUCACGUGCCCGAAUUUCUACAAAUCAAACAUUACAUGCAUUCUAAUGUACAUGCACGUACACACAACAUUAAAAUCAAAAUCUUCAACCCAUGUAUACAUUUAUUCUAAGCCCAGAAAGUUGGUAGUUAUUGGUUCAGCCCAGAAGGCCCAGCCUAGGCAGAGUGCCUCUGCUGAGCGCAAUACAGACCUGUGCCAAGAGCCUUACCUUGCCCUGCUUUUAUAGCCCAAGGAAAGACAGAAUGACAGGACAUCCUGUUUUUGCUUUUGUUUUUCAAACAGGCAGGGAGCUGUGAGCAGAGAAACUGAACAGAAAGCGGAUCUGACCAAACAAACUCAGAUUAAGCCUUUAAAAUCAAAAGACUGGUAACUAAAAUACAUAGGUUUGGGAGUAAGGACGUUUCUAAGAAGCUUAACUGAGAGGAAUAUGCUUUCUCGUCUGAAACAUAACAAAUGUGCAGAGGAGAAAAUGGUGCACAAUGCAUGGCAAGUCUGCAAGUGUAAUUUACUGUGUCAUCCCCGUGAGUUCUCUCUGUAGGACUGGCCACCAGAGUGUGCACCAGCUUACUUCCAUUUCUGUAAGUACAUAAGAAAAGGCACAGAGCAUACAAUAUUUAUCCAUGAAAUUAUACUGAGAGCUCUCCCCCCCACGCACGAAGGUCUAAGAAUGCUUUAGCAUUUGUCUCCUGGGGAGCAAGAGCAAGCUUUAAGGCUGCAAUACGUAUAGUUGAGCACAGGUCAUGCAGCAGUAACAGAGGAAAGGAACACUCUGCCCUUCAGUUCCUAAGCACUGCAGCUUGAGAGUUUUUAAAAAGGCUAUAUUACUUUUCCGUAACUAACCCCCAUAACGUCUCAUCUUUUGAUACAGGAUGGCUUUUUCUUUUCUUUUCUUUUCUUUUCUUUCUUUCUUUCUUUCUUUCUUUCUUUCUUUCUUUCUUUCUUUCUUUCUUUCUUUCUUUCUUUCUUUCUUUCUUUCUUUCUUUCUUUCUUUCUUUCUUUCUUUUCCUCCUUUUCCUUGCAUGAUUGGAGAGAGACAAUUUGAGGAAUAUAUUCUACAUAGUGAUGUGAUUCAGCAACUUUCUGGCAAACUUAAAUGCAGCCCUUUUUCUCAGCGCACUACUGAAACACAACUGGCAACAAUUUCCUUCAUGCUGAGCUUAACCGAAAGCAGGCAACGUAUCACAUAACCUGAAGCUCAGAGGUCUCGGGUCACAAUGUCAUUUCUCAUGUUCUUUCAUAUGACUACGAGCUGCUCAAACCCAGCCAGUGACAACAACUGUGUUACUGCAGGAGCUGCUGUGUUACUCAGGGUGGCUCAGCAAAUACAUUUUCCCUUUAAUCUAAAUUCUAGGUAGCUUUUGCCCGUACCAACACACAAGGCCGUUGCUUCUCAGGAUCCCAAGGGCAUACCCAUAGAAAGGUUGUUCUGCAGUUCCACCAGAGCACACCCCCCUGUCGUGGGGUUGCCCUCAUCAGAACUUUGUUGGCAUAAGGGCACAGGGGUGAAUGAGGCUUUGUAACUCCACUGUAGAAACAUGAUAUAGUUUUGUGUGUUUGGUAUUCUCUACCCAACUGUGGGAAAUCAGAUCAGGAUCAAAAACUACUCUCCUUAAAGGAACAAAU
rnacentral:lncRNA from 1 species